CAAAAACAAACUGAAACAAACAUUUAAAGAAACAAUACAAACUUCAGGUGAUGAUAUUCAAGCAUGUUCUUUUAUUAAGCAUAGGAUGCGAGGCACAGCAGGAGGUUUAAGUACAAUGUGAAAGCAAGAGAACUGAGACUGUGAUUGACAGACAAAGGGAUUAACUAACGUUUUAUUCUCUGCCCCCCAAAAUAUCCUGUGUAUUCUUAAGUAUAUACGCUUCCCUUCCUGCCUUUCAAGGUAUCUAAGGAAUGAUUUGAAAAAUUUGUUAUAAUCUCUAAAGAAUUUUUUGCAUAGCAUUAGCAAAGGAGUCUAUGACAAGUACUUUGCCACCUGGUAGUUCUGCGUAUUCUACUCCCUCUGGGUGUCACUGUCAUCCUCACUGGCUGGGACAAGGUUCUGAGAUUUGUCUCCCCAGCAGUUGCUAAGCUGGCUCAGUCUUGGUCAGGAUGAAUGAAACAAUUAUCUCCUGGAUCAAUGCAGCAAGGAGCAGUGAACACUUGCUUUUUCUUCCCUAAGUAGGAGAAGGCCAGCCCCCGGCUGCAGUGGUGGCCGUGGUGGUAGCUGGAUGGGACGAGGGGACCUCAGGCUAUUCUAUAACAGUAAAAGAAAGAGAAUUGCUGGUGCUUCUCCAGGGAGAUACGGAACCUACACACCAAGCAGGUUUUUACUUUCAAACAGGCCACCACCAGAAAGCAAAGAGACCUAUGCCUAGCCCAGCCCCAGAAAAGUGAUACUUUACCCCAGGAAUUCCCUGCUUCCCAUUGGUACUUAAGAUUUUUCACUCUGUUGUGACUGCUCUUAUUUCCUUUACUCUUGCGGAUCUGUGUUGGAGGGACAUUUGGAAGGGGCCCAGCCCUGGCACUUGCGUGAGGGGACACACACAGGGCGGGUGUGUGUGCCCAUCCGCUCUGAGCUCCACUUAGCCGGACUGGCUGCCAAGCCGUUCUUGGAUCAGCCUCUCGCUGAGCGCCCACAGGGUCCGGGCCGUCUCUUCGCUCUGAGCUUCUGGUGAGGGCAUGCAGCGGCAGCAGUUGUUGAAGUACAUCCCUCCCAGACCCUCCAGUUCUGGGACAGCAGCACAGUACACGGUGGUGGCAGCUCCCUGUUGCUGGAAAUCCAAGAAGAAAGACAAAAAAAAAUUUUAAGAAAAGGAGUGAUGAGAUGGCGUCAUUUCGACUGCCUGGGCAUUAGCAGGCCUCCCCCACCUGGUUCAGUUUCAGCUGGAUCUUGGCAUAGCAAAGGGUACUGGGCUGAAAGCACAUGACUGUAAAAAGUAUAAUGUGACUAUCCUGGAAAAACGAGUUCAUAAACUCCGCUUGUAAAGCUGGUGUAACUUUUGACACCUCAUACAGGGACAGGCUUGGAAAAUAAAUACACAUAUCAAUACGUCGUGGCAGGCGCCUCUUCCACACAGAGAAAAAGAUGGUAUCCUUCUGAACGUGCAAGAACAAAUUCAUCCAACCCCUCAACUUCUCCAUGUAUAAUCUGCCAAAACGACCAGAGUGGCCAAGUGACUUGCCAUUAACUCCCGAGUGGUGGGAGAAUCCAGCUCACCCAUUUCAAGUCCAGCCUCCCGCCCUCUAUGCCACAAUGGUUAUACUAUUCAGCAUUCAAACGUCAUGACAGACUGGCCUUUCACUGUUCUGCCAAGCGUGAGGAAAGACCAAAGCAGUCCGUUUGGGAAAGCAAAAAGCAGAAUUCUUCCUAACCUGAUAAAAUAUUUUGCCACUAUGACCUACUGUAAUGAUACCACGUUGCACUCUUGCAUUACUGGAAUGGUAUUUUUGCUAAGAAAUUCUGCAGUCCCAUUGAUUCAGAAUGCCAUUGUUGCAGGAGCUGGGGACCUACCUUUUCCUUCCACGGAAUCUAAAGGCAAUUACAACUGGCUUCAUUUCAUGCCAACCUACAUUUGGCUACAAUGCUGAGAGCCAUACCUUUUUGAAAAGCCUAACUUUUUAUCAGGAGAUGGCUUUGAUUCCUUUGCCACUAGGCUUGGGGUGAUUUACCAUCUAAAUUCCAUCACAAGUGGCUCUGGCUUUGUAGAACACAGUACACAGGAGGGGCACCCGAAAGCAAAGACGACCUUCUCUACUCCAAAAAUCAAUCGUCCACCUUUGGCAAAUUCUCCUUCUCAGAUUCAUGCUUGGUGCUCAUGGGUACUCACUCUACUUUCCUCCCUUGCUGGACAAUUAAGCAGUAACAAUAUCUUGUUGGUCCCAUACACACCACACCUUUGGUCUCUUGGAGAAUUUUCAGCCGUACCAAUGGCAACCUCUGAGUGACAUCUUAAUAUGAUCAGAUGUGAUGACAGUUUAGUAACAGGUUCUCAUUUUUGGCUCACCAGCUUUUCGGCCUACAUAUCAUCAGAAUAAGACUGAGGCACAUUAGUGAAAUCUCAAUAGUAAACAAGCAGGUACUGCCAAUAAAAGAGAAAGCAUUCUUAAACUGAUUAAAAAAAAAAUUUAAAGAGCACUUUAAUCACCAUCAGAUGACUUUCAUUCAUACCACCUUUUGGGGCAUCAGUUCAUAAUGCAGAAAAGAUGAAAGAGCCAUCUAAAGGAAAUAAUGUUAACAACUCCGUUAUAAAAUAUCUGAAGCAAUACCUUGCCAGUUGUCAUCAAUGCUUACUGAUCCAUUGUGAUAAAUAAUAAUACCUUGACAUACAAACACUGGCUGGAGCUAUGGGUUCCCCUAAACGAUUUUUUUUUUUUGAGAAUCAAUCAUUUAUCAGAAGCCUGUAGGUUGUAUAUGGUUGCUAAUCAUGGGAAACGGGGGAGGUGUCUAUCCCGCAGCAAUGGCAAUGAGUUAGGUUGUUGACGACACAGGACUGAGAAUUUCUGGGAAGCCCAGAAGAAUCUUUUUAAUCAUGCCCGAAUGCCAUUUCCGAUCUAGUCAAACAUUUGUGAGCUGCCAGAGGAGAACUGUGCAAUCAAUCUUGAGAGUAUAUGUAAAAUUACCCAGGACUCUUGUUUGGGAUUAAGAGUAUCUUGGUAAUAAGGAUUCAUCAUUCUCUUUCAAAAAUCAUCUGUCAGAUUUGCAGCACAAUCUUCAACUACAGAAAGGUGGGAUUUAGAAAGCAGUUGCUGUUUAUUUAUAGUUGAGGCCCUCAGAUCUAAAUUAUCCAUCCUUCCAAAACUCGGUGUUGGGAUGAAAAUGUUAAGUAGCUGCUUUUCAUCAACAUUCAUUUGAUAACUGCUAGCCAUCAAUUUAUAGUUGUCAGCACAGAAUACAAAUGCAUAUUGACUCCUUUAAAGGAAAGGGUACAGAGGUUUCUGAUAAACAAUAUAUGGUAAAGAAAAAAAAAGCACCCACAUAUUGAUAUUUGUAAUGCAUUGGUUAGUACUCUAAUAUAAUACUCACAGGGACACAUGUUAC
rnacentral:lncRNA from 1 species